rnacentral:lncRNA from 1 species
GGCUUUCCAUUUUCUCAGUGCUUUCAGCUAUAUGUUGCGCUAUACAUAAGGCUGUACAUAAGUGUAUUUACUACAUAUAUUUCGCUUUAUAUUUACAGCUACUAAACUGUAAUCGGGGCCACACACCGGAAGUUGAAAUGACUUGAAAAUUUAUUGCAUUUGCUGCACAACGUCGAAAAUGCCGGUUUGUCGUUGUCGUUGUCGUUGUCGUUGUCCUCCUCGUUGUCGUUGUUGUAGUUGUUGCAGUGCAAACGCUUGGCUGGGCUGCCUUUGGUGUUGCCAUCGCCAUCGUCAACGAAACGGAAGUGGCGCGGCAGUCAAUUGGGAAGACAGGCGCAGGAUAUGGCGGGCACGAGCAAAAGUGCCGGCAAGCGGCGAUUGCAAAAUUGAAUAAGCCCACAGAACUCGAUCCCCAAGAACCGAACGGAGCAGGCAGCACAGCCAGAGGCCGGAACACAGCCAGCGACUCCUCCACUGACUCUCACUCUGACUCUGACUCUGGCAUCGCACCGGAGACGCCACAAAUUUACGGCGAUUUUGCCGUCACUGGCAGGACACAUUUCUCUACCCCAGAAUUUCCUUUUUCGGCAUUGGCUGGCUGUCCAUCACUCCGGAACGUGGCGUCUCGUGCGCGCUCGCGUCGAGUGACUGCAUUCAAUCCUUGGGGCAGUUUACUGCUCAUAAAAAUCCAUUAAAUUAUUUAAAUUGCCUAGCAAAAACAGUUCUCCCCCGCUCUCUCUCUCUCUCUUUGCAUCUUUCUUGCUUGCCAUCUUUUCUAUUUUGUUUUGCUGUUUUUUGUUUCUGGUUUUGGCGCUGACGUCCCACACACAAGUUGAGAUUUCUGCCUCUUGCACGCUGUCGGCUUUCAUGUGCUACCCUCCGUCGGCUGCAGGUUACCUUCUGCAGGUUUUUGUGUUUGAUUUCAACCCAUUUCUCUUUGGCUCCUGCCUGCCUGCCGCCUGCCUGCCGCCUGCCUGCCUGCAUUGCCAUUUCGGCGUUUUUCCGCGUUGCCUGCUUAAAAUAAAAGACAGCCGGCGGUUACCAGCCAGACUUAGGGCCAGGCCCAGCCAGGCGUGCAUCAACAACAGCAAGAACAAGGAGCAGUUGCAGCCAAGGCAGGAGGCCAGGAGGGGGGCAGCAUACAUACAUCCUUGCGCAUGCAUGCACUUGACUGCCAGUGUGGCUGGAGGCGGGCUCGACCGAACCUGAUCCAACCAGACCAGACCAGACCAAACCAGAAUAGAGUGGCAUCCAGCAGGGCAGUUGGGCGGACCGGGGGUUGCAGGUAUCGGUUCCACACAGAAAUGGAGACGGAGAAAUGCUGGCACACUGGCUUGCAGCUGCUCCACGUAUGUGGAUGUGGAUGUGGAUGGAUGUGUGGCUCUAGGGCUGGAGUCACCAUGGCGAUAUUUCAACGUUUAUAGCGGGAGGCUUCGAUAAGUG